AAAUUGAAGAGUUUGAUCAUGGCUCAGAUUGAACGCUGGCGGCAGGCCUAACACAUGCAAGUCGAACGGUAACAGGAAGCAGCUUGCUGCUUUGCUGACGAGUGGCGGACGGGUGAGUAAUGUCUGGGAAACUGCCUGAUGGAGGGGGAUAACUACUGGAAACGGUGGCUAAUACCGCAUAACGUCGCAAGACCAAAGAGGGGGACCUUCGGGCCUCUUGCCAUCAGAUGUGCCCAGAUGGGAUUAGCUUGUUGGUGAGGUAACGGCUCACCAAGGCGACGAUCCCUAGCUGGUCUGAGAGGAUGACCAGCCACACUGGAACUGAGACACGGUCCAGACUCCUACGGGAGGCAGCAGUGGGGAAUAUUGCACAAUGGGCGCAAGCCUGAUGCAGCCAUGCCGCGUGUAUGAAGAAGGCCUUCGGGUUGUAAAGUACUUUCAGCGGGGAGGAAGGUGUUGUGGUUAAUAACCGCAGCAAUUGACGUUACCCGCAGAAGAAGCACCGGCUAACUCCGUGCCAGCAGCCGCGGUAAUACGGAGGGUGCAAGCGUUAAUCGGAAUUACUGGGCGUAAAGCGCACGCAGGCGGUCUGUCAAGUCGGAUGUGAAAUCCCCGGGCUCAACCUGGGAACUGCAUUCGAAACUGGCAGGCUUGAGUCUUGUAGAGGGGGGUAGAAUUCCAGGUGUAGCGGUGAAAUGCGUAGAGAUCUGGAGGAAUACCGGUGGCGAAGGCGGCCCCCUGGACAAA
rnacentral:rRNA from 1 species